rnacentral:rRNA from 1 species
AUGAGGUGCCACCUCUGCCUCCACCCCCCACCGGGAAAGGAGCUCGAGGUGAACAGGCAGUGUGGGAAGGCGAGAGGAAGCAUGAGCUCAUCUCUCCUCCAAUGGAUGUCUCGUGCAUCUGGAGUACAAGGAGAACAACACGUGCCUGUUGGAGGUGGCUCGAGCGAUGCAGGCCAGUGGCGAACUAGAUCUGACAUAGAAGACCACAUUCCUCAGGGAUCCCAAAAUAUAUUAGACAAUAUGGUAGUCCAAUGCUGUUUUGAAGUAUAUAUUGGCACUAUGCUGAAAAAGGACAUGACAGGAAGUGAAGACGGCCAGUCAUCGCGCCAUAUUCCCGUGUGCUCCAUUCAUAUUACUAUAUGCUUAAAACGUCGUGCUCUCCUUAUCUACAUCAUGUGGUUUGCUAUCAAACUCUCGAAAAGGCAAAACAACUUUACUCUGUUUUUUGGAGAACCUUCCUAUAGAGUAACUCGACAGAAACAAAUAUGCGAUCAAGGAUAUAUUCGACAGAUUUUCACGCAAAACAUGGAGAAUAUUUUUUUGCAGAUAGUUUGGUGCUCUCAUGGUUAUUUUGUAGUGAUUUUCCUCCUGUUCAUUACUUGGUGCUUCUUCUGUAACUUGGUGUAUUUUGCUGGCUCUUCUCAUUUCCUGGCGAACUUUUUAGUCUGUACAGUCGAAUCGUUGGAAGUUGUUUUCUAUUAUCUAUAG